UCGUACUCACUAUAUUCCAUUCUCCACACAUUUAACCAGAUACUCUGUUACAUUAUAUAUUUAUUUAUAUAUAUAAAUAUAUAUCGUACUUGUAAUUUUCUUUGAUACGAUACGAUACGAAAGCUAUACUACAUACUUACACUUAAGUAGUAACAACACGUGAGUGACUGACCUAAGAGAUUUUCAAAAAUGGAUUCCCAGUCAUAACAUUGCAGUCAAAAAUAUCUCUAUACAUACUUUGACAACCUUCAAAUUAGUCCACUCUUCACUCUUGAGUUUAAUAGCCAUUUCGCGAUUCAUAUAAAAAUAUAAGAAAUAUUACUAUUUAGAUGUUGUAUCCCGAGUAUGUCGAUAGACUAAUCAGUAAGAUUGGUGUUGAUCUACGCUGCCAUAGGCUACAUUCCUACUAGUACAAGCGGAGUCAAAACAUUGUUGUGAGCUUCGAUGCAUCAGCUGAGUAACAAACGGAGGCGGAUAGUAGCGUAUCCCUAUGUAUCUAUUUACAUGGUUCGGUGUUAUGUACAUAAUUUAUAGGGAUCAUGGAUAAUUGAAGUAUAACAAUUUAAACUUAUUCAAAGCUCACAAUUUAUUUUGCAAGCUUUAGAUAGACCUUCUAUACUUCACUAUCCAUAUUACGGCAAUAAAUAAAUAUAUUGUUAAAUUGAAAAAUUAUUUAUGAUCUGAAACUGACUUGCUCGAAAAAAUAUAUACCCCGGUAAAAUAGUAUAGGUGCGGAUUAUAUUUUUAGUAUUGUCGUAUGUAUGCUAUUUUUCCGGCAUAUAUUCCCGGAUAUAUAUUUUUUCGUAUGGGGACAAUACAACAAUUUAUCGACACUAUUUUUCAACCAUUUAAAUAAAAAAUUUUAAGCCCACUAGUCCUAUACUUUGAAACAGGCAAAAAGAGAUUAUACUUUCGAAAUAAUAUUCUGUAAUCAGAAAAAAUAAAACAAAUAA